rnacentral:rRNA from 1 species
CAACUUUCAACAACGGAUCUCUUGGCUCUCGCAUCGAUGAAGAACGCAGCGAAAUGCGAUACGUAAUGUGAAUUGCAGAAUUCAGUGAAUCAUCGAAUCUUUGAACGCACCUUGCGCCCCUUGGCAUUCCGAGGGGCACACCCGUUUGAGUGUCGUGAAAU